GAAACUGGAAACAAUGCUUAUGCAAAAUUUUAGGGGACAAACAAAGAGUAUUAUGGUAUUUUCCGGAGUGACCUGAGAAUAUUCGGCGCUUCCGAGGAAAAUUCUUUAGCAGUUUGUAAACAGCAAUAUAUAUUGACUGGACUUCUACCAGCCGAGACGAAGAGAUAAAGAAACAAACUUGAUAAUGGAAAGUAGAAAUGACACUGCGAUCUACAUUUUUCGGCAAAUACUGCACAAUCCCACUAACGUUACAAUCUUGCUUGGUGUGCUUGCGUAUUUCCUGUGGCAAGUUGUCCUAUUAAUUCUCUUUGCGUCUGUUAAGAUGUACAGCUUACUAUCAGUUGCUCUCGGCAGCCCAGCGUCGCGGGUAGGCGCCGGAUUGGGUGGAAUAAUUGGCCUGGUUAUUGGGGUUUGUUUGUACGGAUCAUGGAUUACUGUUGUUUUUGGAUUGGGCGCUGGAGCGCUGCUUGGAGGUGUCAGUAUCAAUGGGAUUUACUGCAUGGCACUUGGACAUCACACUCAGCAAGCAAUUAGACAAAAACAAGAAAAAGGAAAAAAGAAAUUGCCGGGCAGUUCACAAAAAACAUCUAGGCAAAGAAAUUAGUUCUAAAACAUUUUAAUAAAAGAUACAGGAAAGGCAGUGGUCAAUUAAAUUUUUACUCGAAUCCAUUUCUGUGCCUGUCUCCUCAAGAACUAACAGAUGUGGAAAUUUUUGCACCAUCAAAUACCAGAACCACGUUUAAAAUAGCGAAAUGUGAUAUGUCUUAACAUUAACAGUUAUAUGUACAGUUGUAUCUAUUCUGUGAUCUAUUUCCUCCUUAAAACAGAACCAUUCUGAACUGAUGUGUCAAGUAGUUCAUGAAUUCAUCUUUAACUGUUAAAUAUACUAAGAAGAAUUUUUAAUAUUAAUGAUAUAUACUGGCAACAUUUUCUUUACAUUUUUAUCUGCACCCCCCCCCCUCCAACUUUCCCUUCAUCCACUGCAGUCUCAUUUUCAAUAUCUUGACAGCUUGGCUUUUUAAAAUGCAGCCGUAAAAAAUAUUUGAUUGUUCUCUUUGGAGUCAUUGUUACAUUGAUAAAUAAAAUUUGUAAGAACAGCAGAAUAAAAUAGCUCAUACAACAAGCCAGACAGCCUGUUUGAACAUA